rnacentral:misc_RNA from 1 species
GUGAGUCAUCGAAUCUUUGAACGCAUAUUGCGCUCUUUGGUAUUCCGAAGAGCAUGCUUGUUUGAGUAUCAGUAAACACCUCAAAGCUUUUGGAUUUUUUUUUUUGAAAGNUUUGGACUUGAGCAAUCCCAACACCAAUCUUUUUCAGAUCGGCGGCGGGUUGCUUGAAAUGCAGGUGCAGCUGGACUUUCUCCUGAGCUAAAAGCAUAUUCAUUUAGUCCCGUCAAACGGAUUAUUACUUUUGCUGCAGCUAACAUAAAGGGAGUUUGACCGCAUUGGCUGACUGAUGCAGGAUUUCAC